rnacentral:tRNA from 1 species
ACUGAGAAGUCGUCCGUGCAAGUCGAACCAUUUUGACACCCAACAGCUAGCCUUACACCCUAAAUUAAACAACCC